UACGGAGGGGACUAGCGUUGUUCGGAAUUACUGGGCGUAAAGCGCACGUAGGCGGAUUUGUAAGUCAGGGGUGAAAUCCCGGGGCUCAACCUCGGAACUGCCUUUGAUACUGCAAAUCUCGAGUCCGGAAGAGGUGAGUGGAAUUCCUAGUGGUAGAGGUGAAAUUCGUAGAUAUUAGGAAAGAACACCAGUGGCGAAGGCGACUACCUGGCCUGUUCUUGACGCUCAUGCACGAAAGCGUGGGGAGCAAACAGG
rnacentral:rRNA from 1 species